ensembl:snRNA U6 U6 spliceosomal RNA
GUACUCUUUUUGGCAGCACAUACACUAAAAUUGGAACGAUGCAGAGAAGCUUGGCAUGGACCUUGUGCAGGGAUGACAUGUAAAUUCGUGACACAUUCCCUAUUUAA